rnacentral:rRNA from 1 species
AUACGGAGGGGGCAAGCGUUGUUCGGAAUUAUUGGGCGUAAAGCGUAUGUAGGCGGUUGGACAAGUCAGACGUGUAAGCCCGUGGCUCAACCACGGAAUUGCGUUUGAAACUGUUUAACUUGAGUGCAGGAGAGGAAAGCGGAAUUCCCAGUGUAGCGGUGAAAUGCAUUGAUAUUGGGAAGAACAUCGGUGGCGAAGGCGGCUUUCUGGCCUGAUACUGACGCUGAGAUACGAAAGCCAGGGGAGCGAACGGGAUUAGAUACCCCGGUAGUCC